GUGACCAAAAGUGGAGCCACCUUCCCCUCAAAGGGUAGAUAUGCGUCUGAAGACCAGAUACUGCGCUUCAAUCCAGUUUACUGUAACGGACGUCAGCUGAAUCACAGAAGAGGAAGUCUAUACAGAGAAACUCAGUGAGGACAUUGGUGUCUGGAUGUGAAGAAAGCCGCUGGUGUUUCCUGGUCAUUGUAUCUGUUUGCAUGUCUGUGGAGGUGAGGCAACCAUUCGAAAGGUCAGAGUUCAACAGGCACGGUCGAGCCUUAAUGACCCUUCAGUUCAAGUCACAUCUUCCAAACAGCAGGAUUCAAACCAAAGAAGUUGUUAAACACUGGUCACAGCCGGGAGGAGGUGGAGGAGACCAAAGGUGGCAUUUUUCACACAAAAACUUCAUCUCUGCACCAUCUCUGCUCUUCCUGAUAUAUUCUGCAUUGUGUUAAAGCUAGCAGGCUCAAUUUAGUUUCGGCAGAACUGAUUUGGCUUUGCUUAGCAUUUGUGCGUCUUUGCAUUAUUUGCCUGUUUGCUUCAGCAUGUCAUCCUGGGCAAAGAGCUUUCCUUCCAAUGUAAAAUCUCUCACUCUCACCCCGAAAAAUCUCGAAAUGCGCGGGCAAGAACGUCACAGGGUUAAUGAUGUAUAUGCACGCUGCAGAUUUCACUCCAUCUGUACUUCUUCAGGGGCUUUAGAGGGGAAGGGAGACAAAGUGUGUCUAUAUGCAAAUGAAAAUACAUGCAAUCAGCAGUGAGAAAAUGAGCAGGAAAGAGUGUGGUGUGUUUCAACAAAGUGCAGUCUUCUUAUCUGUGGUGUGCCUGCGAACACAUUUGUUGAUGUGUGACUUUCUGCAAGUCAUUUCUAGUCCACUGCAACCACAAAAGUCUUCUCUUAAAUCUAUGUCCUGGCUUUUAGGGAUGAACGCAUGAUUUACAUGUAAUGAAUGGUUUCCUGUUGAUAUUACAGAAGUGCAGAAGCCCUCAAAAAAUAAAAAGUGAAAUCCUAAACAUUCCACACUUGGAAAACAAGUUCAUGGAGCAUCUUCUAAGAGAGGAUAAACGCACUGCAAGCGUUACCCUUUGUUCCGCCCACCACACCCUCAGCUCAAGUGUGAACAGUAACUGCUGACCACUACUACUGCUGAGGCAUGACUGGACAAGUGCUUCUCUUAAUUGCGAAAUCAGUUCUGCAGAAACAGAGCUUGAACGGCCAUGAGCAAGCUCUCCACAAGAGUGACUGUGACUUUUCUUAUCUAACACUGAGACAUCUGCACCGAGAGUGACAGUGAGGGAUAUUAUCUAUUUCACUCGAGCAGAAAAGCAGAAGAUCACUGCUUCCCCUUUUCAAAGUAGCUGUUCAUAGAGCUAAAGAGUUAACAGGAUUUUUUUCUCCCCCCUCGACACAAAAGCAGUCUCUUCACUAUAUGUUUGGUACCACAGAAGACACUGCAGUCUAAUACUGCGCUGAUAAAAGAAAAGCCACGUAUAACUAACAACUACCCACAUAAAAUGAAGAUUUUACCCACAUUGAAUCAGCGCUGGCAUGUAAAGUGGAUUAUUUUCUCUACACUUGCACUUCACUUCUUUGCUUGUUCUUUUUUUUCCCUGCCCAAAUGUGUUUCUUGCAUGUCUAAGCUGA